rnacentral:rRNA from 1 species
UACGUAGGGUGCGAGCGUUAAUCGGAAUUACUGGGCGUAAAGCGUGCGCAGGCGGUUCGUUAAGUUCGUUGUGAAAGCCCCGGGCUCAACCUGGGAACUGCAAUGGAAACUGGCGGGCUUGAGUGUGGCAGAGGGGGGUGGAAUUCCGCGUGUAGCAGUGAAAUGCGUAGAGAUGCGGAGGAACACCGAUGGCGGAAGGCAGCCCCCUGGGCCAACACUGACGCUCAGGCACGAAAGCGUGGGGAGCAAACAGG